ensembl:lncRNA
GUUAUUCCUGGUGAGGCUUUGGCUAGAGAGGAAAGGAGAAGGCAAGUGGUGAUCACUAAGCAUCUAAAGGAGGACGUGCAGGGAUGAGACCCAUGGACCACAGUGUGCUGAAAUGUCUCUUCUCCCUAUUCUUGCUAACAGUAUCUGCAUCAGGCACUCUAUCCAACGCAGCAGUUACUACUAUCCAACCACUAUCAAAUACAGCCAGUGCAUCCCAACCAGCCAACACAGCCACUUCAUCCAGUGCAACCACACCAUCCUGUUUGACCCGUCGAUGUCUGGCCAGCAUGCUGAUUGCGAAAGAAGCUCGGAGUCCGCCACAGUCUCCACGGUGCAUCUCAAUUAUCCGUGUGCCGUCAAUCGUGUACGAAACUCUGUC